ACAGCAACACCAAAAGCACACAUGUCCAUAACUGCCCAUAACUGUCAGGGACCCUGGGUCUGACAGUUACUCGUUGAAGAACAGAGAUACAAACUGAACACUAAUUCUGUUAAGAAUUCAGAUGUUCCUGUAGAAACACAGUAUGCUGAUGUCACAGAGGCUACAGACAACUCAAACAAACCCACCCAUAGUGCACUGAGUUUUCUUAACAAGGCCCGUGUCUCUCCCAACAACGCCUCCUGUAGUAAC